AUGUUGCUCCUAGUAUUCAUUAUAUUUUCUCUUCUAAAAGAGAAUGCUGCUGCUGAUGUCAUAAAACCAGUCUACACACAGAAGCAGGUUUUGGCAGGAAAAGAUGUUACACUGAUCUGUAACUACACUGGCACAGUUCAGAGUUUACAGUGGUACCGUCAGUAUCCCGGAUCCAAACCUGAGCACCUCAUUAUGUUCUUUGAAACCAGCCCUAAAUCAGAGCCCACUCUCCGUCUGACCGCUGCGGCUGAUAAAGCAGCCAAAAGUAUGAAUUUGAUGAUCUCUUCUACAGAAGUGAAAGACUCUGCCAUGUACUACUGUGCCCUGCAGCCCACAGUGACAGGAAAUACAACUAGACCAAACAAAAACUGA